rnacentral:lncRNA from 1 species
AAGCCUGGUCCAUUUCCUCCUUCUUUCCUUCUUCCUUCCAUCAGGACUGUAUGCAUAGUAGAUGGUGUCACCUACAAUCAAGGCAGAUUUCCCCUCUCAAUUUGCUGGCCCGCAUGCUAGUCAUCUCCAGAAAUAUCACCACAGGGCCAUCCAGAGUGUGCUUUACUAUUCUCCUGCAUGUCUCUCAAUCCAGUUGAGUCAUCAUACCAGACAUAGAGAAUAUAACAUUGGAACAAACUGUCUACUAUUCUGGGACUUUCAAGAAUUAGUACUUGGAUGACAUGGUCAUUUGGAUUUGGUGACAGCAGGACCUCAGGAUGUCAG